AAUUAUUUGGUUGAAUAUUACAAUGAUGUCAUGUAUAUGAUGAUUGUAAGGCCCAAAUUUUGCCCGCCCGUUACAACACAAAAACAAAAUAAAAACAAUAAAUAUAAUAAAUAAAACAGUCUAUUAAUUAAAAGUCCUCUUUUACAGUCCAAAACCUAAAAUGAAUACAUGACCCAUAGCCCAAAACUAAUACACCAAGCCCAAUGAACCCUAGCCUAAACCUAGACCCAAAUGCCCAAGGCCUAAACGGCCCAAAAUUCCUUAGCAAACAAAAACCCUAGGUUUUUUAGAUGCGCCUCAGCCAACCCUCGUACAGCCUCCAGUGCCCCUCCGUACGGCCUUCACGCACCACCCCACACCGAGCACCACGUAUCAGACCGCCAAUUGGCCUCCGUACCUGCAAAAAAACUAGACAAAAAAAAACUGCACAGCAAAACAGCAAGCAAAAGAAUAGGAACAAUUUUUUUUGUAUUUUUCUGUUUUCUUCUUUCGGCUAUAAAGCCAUUAGGACUUGGAUUGUAACCGGGGGGGGGGAGAGGUUUCUUGUUUCUUUUAAUGAAUAGAAUAGCAAGGGAAUAUACACGCAUAUUGUAAAAAAGAAAAGAGCAAUCCAAAAUCAGUUUCUUUAAGGUGAUUCCAGAUUCUAUUUUUUCAUUUAUUUGUUUUAUUUGAUUGCAACUUUAGCAUAAAAAAGAGGAGAAUACCUGGAACGGCACCGAGGAGAGCCCAUAUAUCUCAAAAUUACAAUGAUUCGGGCUAGGAUCAAAUGGUGUUGUGUUUUCGUUUCUUCCUCUUUUUAAUUUCAUUUUGUUUCUUUUUUUAAAAAAAAAACCAAAUAACAUAGGAUUUUAACCCCUUUUUAGAAAGGAAAAGACGGAAAGGAAUAGGCCUACCUAAUCUCCGUGGGCGUGGCUUCUGUGGGUGAGAUCUAGAUGCCAUUUGCGCACCGUCGGCCAUCGUAUAGGUGGUGGUUCGGCGGCUGUGUGCUGAACCAAACCCUAAUAGAAAGGGUUAAGGGUUCCGUUGUGUUUAAGAGAAAGGGGGGAGGGGGGGGCUAAAAGAAUGGCUCUAUUUCGGAAGAGAAAUUAAUGGAAAUAGGGGUUUAAGGGCUGUGUCAAAAACGGUGCCGUUUCAAGAAGGUAAGAAUCCCCACGCCUCUACUUAAAUUGGGAAAUUUAUUAGCGUGGCCCUUCUCCUUCGCGUUGAUUCCAAAUCUAGCCCUUAUUCAAAC
rnacentral:lncRNA from 1 species